rnacentral:lncRNA from 1 species
CCACCCUGCCUCAGGCAAUGCUUUCCUCUUUCUGUCUCUCCCUGUCUCUCUUUCUCUGUGCAAACUGGUUGAAUUAAUGGUAAAAAAUCACUGUUUAUCUCCUAUAAAGUUUUGAUUAAUGGAAGAAAGGAUUUUUGAUGCUAGACUUAAGCUGCAGCAAAUCUGAUGUGCUUUGUGUGUUUUUCUGUAUUAUUCUGUCAUAAAGAGGGGUACCUUAUGAUAGAACACUGGCUUAGGACGCUUUUCAAGGCAGAACAGCAAACUGGUCUGUUACAAACUUUGCUGCAGUUUCCUGAGAAAAACUGGAUGAGUUUUUUUCUUGUCUUGCAUGUCCUUGGGAACUUGAAGCUGUAAGCAUGUGGCCAUGUUUUCUCUUUUCACAAUGGCAUCCUGUGUUCAGGGUUCAAUUUCUGCCUCGGGAUGAAUUUUUUUUAUCUUCUUCUGUGCACAAUUGGAGAAACUGAUUAUUUUACGAAGACUUUGAUGGAAUGGUAUACUCUCCUUUAAGGAAUCAAACUUGACUUGCCAAGUCAAUAAAAGCCCCUUGGAGAAAUGGCCUCAGACCUUUGCUACAACAGUCCCUGUACGUGAUUUCUGACCUGUGGUAAGUAAAUAAUGUCAC